rnacentral:rRNA from 1 species
GACGAACGCUGGCGGCGUGCUUAACACAUGCAAGUCGAACGAUGAAGCCAGCUUGCUGGUGGAUUAGUGGCGAACGGGUGAGUAACACGUGGGUGAUCUGCCCCAAACUUUGGGAUAAGCCUGGGAAACUGGGUCUAAUACCGAAUAUGACCGAUACUCGCAUGGGUGUUGGUGGAAAGCUCCGGCGGUUUGGGAUGGGCCCGCGGCCUAUCAGCUUGUUGGUGGGGUAAUGGCCUACCAAGGCGACGACGGGUAGCCGGCCUGAGAGGGCGACCGGCCACACUGGGACUGAGACACGGCCCAGACUCCUACGGGAGGCAGCAGUGGGGAAUAUUGCACAAUGGGCGCAAGCCUGAUGCAGCGACGCCGCGUGAGGGAUGACGGCCUUCGGGUUGUAAACCUCUUUCACCAGGGACGAAGCGAAAGUGACGGUACCUGGAGAAGAAGCACCGGCCAACUACGUGCCAGCAGCCGCGGUAAUACGUAGGGUGCGAGCGUUGUCCGGAAUUACUGGGCGUAAAGAGCUCGUAGGCGGUUUGUCGCGUCGUUCGUGAAAACUUGGGGCUUAACUCCAAGCGUGCGGGCGAUACGGGCAGACUUGAGUACUACAGGGGAGACUGGAAUUCCUGGUGUAGCGGUGAAAUGCGCAGAUAUCAGGAGGAACACCGGUGGCGAAGGCGGGUCUCUGGGUAGUAACUGACGCUGAGGAGCGAAAGCGUGGGUAGCGAACAGGAUUAGAUACCCUGGUAGUCCACGCCGUAAACGGUGGGUACUAGGUGUGGGUUCCUUUUCACGGGAUCCGUGCCGUAGCUAACGCAUUAAGUACCCCGCCUGGGGAGUACGGCCGCAAGGCUAAAACUCAAAGAAAUUGACGGGGGCCCGCACAAGCGGCGGAGCAUGUGGAUUAAUUCGAUGCAACGCGAAGAACCUUACCUGGGUUUGACAUACACCAGAAAGCCAUAGAGAUAUGGCCCCCCUUGUGGUUGGUGUACAGGUGGUGCAUGGCUGUCGUCAGCUCGUGUCGUGAGAUGUUGGGUUAAGUCCCGCAACGAGCGCAACCCUUGUCCUGUGUUGCCAGCACGUAAUGGUGGGGACUCGCAGGAGACUGCCGGGGUCAACUCGGAGGAAGGUGGGGAUGACGUCAAGUCAUCAUGCCCCUUAUGUCCAGGGCUUCACACAUGCUACAAUGGCCGGUACAGAGGGCUGCGAUACCGUGAGGUGGAGCGAAUCCCUUAAAGCCGGUCUCAGUUCGGAUCGGGGUCUGCAACUCGACCCCGUGAAGUCGGAGUCGCUAGUAAUCGCAGAUCAGCAACGCUGCGGUGAAUACGUUCCCGGGCCU